rnacentral:rRNA from 1 species
ACGGUACAACGAGUCGCAAGCUCGCGAGAGUAAGCUAAUCUCUUAAAGCCGUUCUCAGUUCGGACUGUAGGCUGCAACUCGCCUACACGAAGUCGGAAUCGCUAGUAAUCGCGGAUCAGCAUGCCGCGGUGAAUACGUUCCCGGGCCUUGUGCACACCGCCCGUCACACCAUGGGAGUUUGUAACGCCCAAAGUCGGUGGCCUAACCUUUAUGGAGGGAGCCGCCUAAGGCGGGACAGAUGACUGGGGUGAAGUCGUAACAAGGUACC